AUUGAACGCUGGCGGCAGGCCUAACACAUGCAAGUCGAGCGGAUGAAGGGAGCUUGCUCCUGGAUUCAGCGGCGGACGGGUGAGUAAUGCCUAGGAAUCUGCCUGGUAGUGGGGGAUAACGUCCGGAAACGGGCGCUAAUACCGCAUACGUCCUGAGGGAGAAAGUGGGGGAUCUUCGGACCUCACGCUAUCAGAUGAGCCUAGGUCGGAUUAGCUAGUUGGUGGGGUAAAGGCCUACCAAGGCGACGAUCCGUAACUGGUCUGAGAGGAUGAUCAAUCACACUGGAACUGAGACACGGUCCAGACUCCUACGGGAGGCAGCAGUGGGGAAUAUUGGACAAUGGGCGAAAGCCUGAUCCAGCCAUGCCGCGUGUGUGAAGAAGGUCUUCGGAUUGUAAAGCACUUUAAGUUGGGAGGAAGGGCAGUAAGUUAAUACCUUGCUGUUUUGACGUUACCAACAGAAUAAGCACCGGCUAACUUCGU
rnacentral:rRNA from 1 species